UGGGGAAUAUUGCACAAUGGGCGAAAGCCUGAUGCAGCAACGCCGCGUGAGUGAUGAAGGUCUUCGGAUUGUAAAGCUCUGUCUUUUGGGACGAUAAUGACGGUACCAAAGGAGGAAGCCACGGCUAACUACGUGCCAGCAGCCGCGGUAAUACGUAGGUGGCGAGCGUUGUCCGGAUUUACUGGGCAUAAAGGGUGCGUAGGCGGAUGUUUAAGUGAGAUGUGAAAUACCCGGGCUUAACUUGGGUGCUGCAUUUCAAACUGGAUAUCUAGAGUGCAGGAGAGGAGAAUGGAAUUCCUAGUGUAGCGGUGAAAUGCGUAGAGAUUAGGAAGAACACCAGUGGCGAAGGCGAUUCUCUGGACUGUAACUGACGCUGAGGCACGAAAGCGUGGGUAGCAAACAGGAUUAGAUACCCUGGUAGUCCACGCCGUAAACGAUGAGUACUAGGUGUAGGAGGUAUCGACCCCUUCUGUGCCGCAGUAAACACAUUAAGUACUCCGCCUGGGAAGUACGAUCGCAAGAUUAAAAC
rnacentral:rRNA from 1 species